rnacentral:rRNA from 1 species
CAAAGUUUUUCGUUUCCGGGGGAAGUAUGGUUGCAAAGCUGAAACUUAAAGGAAUUGACGGAAGGGCACCACCAGGAGUGGAGCCUGCGGCUUAAUUUGACUCAACACGGGAAAACUCACCCGGCCCGGACACCGUAAGGAUUGACAGACUGAGAGCUCUUUCUUAAUUCGGUGGGUGGUGGUGCAUGGCCGUUCUUAGUUGGUGGAGCGAUUUGUCUGGUUAAUUCCGAUAACGAACGAGACUCUGGCCUAUUAAAUAGACGAUAUAUUUAAAAGUAUAUCGCGCUUCUUAGAGGGACAAGCGGCGUCUAGCCGCAUGAAAUAGAGCAAUAACAGGUCUGUGAUGCCCUUAGAUGUCCGGGGCUGCACGCGCGCUACACUGAAAGAAUCAGUGUGCGUUACGCCUAGUUCGGAAGAACCGGGUAACCCAAGUAAAUUCUUUCGUGCUUGGGAUAGGGAAUUGCAAUUAUUUCCCUUAAACGAGGAAUUCCCAGUAAAUGCGGGUCAUAAGCUCGCGUUGAUUACGUCCCUGCCCCUUUG